rnacentral:rRNA from 1 species
AAUAGAUACCCUGGUAGUCCUAGCUGUAAACGAUGAGCACUGGGUUGAGGGGACUUCCACAUCCUCUCGGCCGUAGCGAAAGCGUUAAGUGCUCCGCCUGGGGAGUAUGGCCGCAAGGCUGAAACUCAAAGGAAUUGACGGGGGCUCACACAAGCGGUGGAGGAUGUGGCUUAAUUCGAGGCUACGCGAAGAACCUUAUCCUAGAUUUGACAUGGUUGAGAAUCUCCUUGAAAGAGGAGAGUGCCCUUCGGGGAGCUCUUUCACAGGUGCUGCAUGGCUGUCGUCAGCUCGUGUCGUGAGAUGUUGGGUUAAGUCCCUUAACGAGCGAAACCCUUAUCUUUAGUUGCCAGCGGGUCAAGCCGGGGACUCUAAAGAGACUGCCGGUGUCAAACCGGAGGAAGGUGGGGAUGACGUCAGGUCCUCAUGGCCUUUAUGUCUAGGGCUGCACACGUCCUACAAUGGCACGUACAAAGGGAAGCCAAGCCGCGAGGCCGCGCUAAUCCCAAAAAGCGUGCCCCAGUUCGGAUUGCAGGC